rnacentral:rRNA from 1 species
GAUCCUGGCUCAGGACGAACGCUGGCGGCGUGCUUAACACAUGCAAGUCGAACGGAGCACCCUUGACUGAGGUUUCAGCCAAAUGAUAGGAAUGCUUAGUGGCGGACUGGUGAGUAACGCGUGAGGAACCUGCCUUUCAGAGGGGGAUAACCCGGCGAAAGUCGGACUAAUACCGCAUGAAGCAGGGAUCCCGCAUGGGAAUAUUUGCUAAAGAUUCAUCGCUGAUAGAUAGGCA